UCUUGCUUUUAGUGUUUGCCUGCCACUGUGUCCCUCAGCACUUCACUGUGUGGUGCUGAAAGGGAGUUGUCCUUUUGUGCAGCUUCUUCUCUGCUCUGGAAUCUCAAAUAAGAGAUUAUCAGGCAAAACCAAUAUGAGCAGAGCAUAUUUUCAACCCCUUUCCCAAAAGUUGGGCAUAGUUGUAGGAUCCUUUAAGGCAAAGGAGGUAUUACUAGUUAACAUUUAUAGUAUGACUGGAAUAGAGUUUGCACAGUCUCAGUGGGUGAAAUGAAUAUUUUUCGCAUACACUUUACAGAUCUCUGGUUUCAACUUGUACUUCACACUGCAAAGAUAACAACUGUGCCACAUGCUUCUGCAACCCACACUUCUGGUCCUUGAAGUGGAAUUUUUCUCCUUUACACAUAAACCAGAAACUGCUCUGGUUGAGAGGAAGCUCUGUUUAACUUAGAUCUGUUCAUGUUGACUGUACAUGGCUGAGAUGGUUAUUUUGGGGCAGUUUCUAUCUGCUUCUCAUAUGACAGAAAGUUCAAAUUUGACUUUGCAUUGAGGAGAAAGGAAAAGUUUGAGAAAGGUUGUUUUUUUUUUGGUUUUUUUUUAGUAUUUGUGGAAAAGAUGGCAUGAGCCAAAAUAAAUUUUUUAGCUUGAGCACUUGCUCACAUCUUGGUCCUGAAUUUGAUAAGUGCCCUAUUUAAAAAGUAAAGUAAUAAAAACCCAACAAAACCAAAACUAAAUAGCCCCACAAAACCCAACCCAAAAUUACUCAGCUUGUUUUAAAUUUAAACUUGCAAGUUUGAUUUUAGGACAGAUGAGCACAGAACGCCUUGAGCCAAAGGGAGUACAUGACAGAGACAGCUUGAGGUGAGAAGUGAUCUGUGCAUGUCAGAAUUUCAUUUGCUCCCUGGGAAGUGGGACAUCCUGGACAUACUUCACCCUCCUCAAACUUCACUUUGGCAGUGAACAUUCUCCACAUAUGCUGUGGGAGAUGCUGAAGAACCCUGAAGGGUAAGAGAUACCAGCAGUCUUAGUGCAGACUCUUUUCCGGGGGCAUAUGGGGAGCAAUUUCCUAGCUGAGUGCUAAUAGUUUGUCUAACGUGCAGCAUUGCUCUUCGUGGCUUGGCACAGGUUCAGUGCUCUGUGUGGUGUGGAAGCACACUGUGUAAAAUGUGAGAACUUCCUGCUGUGAUAAGGAACCAACAGUUCUUCCAACAGGUGUAGUCUUUAGCUGCAGUGCUGAAGAUGUAACAGAAAUGUUUGUUGUCAUGGGCCUUCAAUAUUGUCAAUCUCAAACUGAGUCUGGCUGAACAGCUCAGAAGGCAGAGCUUCACUUUUUGCCUUGCACUGCUAUGAUAAGAGAAUUAGGAGGGGAAGCUGUGUUCAAGAAUCUCUAAUCCAUGAUGGUGGCUGUGACUGAAAUGAAUAAUCUUAUUUUAAAGGGUGCUCUAAACCACUAAAGCUUUAUAAAUAUUAAUUUUGUUCAUUUGUUUCCUAAUAAAAGGCUUUCAUUCAUUAAAUUGGUAUUUAUUUAUUAACCUGACAAACUAAUAGCAAGCUCUCUUCUUUCAGUGUAUGCAUGUGCCAUAUCACAAUUCUGCUUGUCACAGUAAUAAGAACUUCAUUCAUCUGCCUUAAAAUGUCAUUGAUAACAACCUGGCAGUAGCCCAGCUUGGAGCAAGUUAACUACAAAAGGCUGCAUUGUAAAUCUUUCUGAGAGUACAUGCUACAUUAAGUCUAAAAUUAAAAAAAACAAAGAGAGAGAAAGAGAGAAAUGUGCAGGCUGGUCUGAGCGUCAUACAACUGUCAAAUAGGUUCAAACCCUUGAAAAAGCACGGAACUCUGUACGGAGGAAUUCUGGCUGCAGAUGGGUUAGUUUGGAAUGAAGGAUGCAUUCUUCUCACUUUAAAAUCUUUGGGGUACACUGAAUUUAUAAGCCUCAUCUUAAAAUGAAAGUGAAUGCCUUGUUGAACCACAAGCAGCUAAAUAAGAGCUUGGACAUGUAAGCAUCUUGUUAUUUCCUUUUGUCUCAUCUUUCUAUGACUGGGAUAAAAGCUAUAAUCUGAAAAUAGUCACAUGCCUCUGGAGUUAACUGCUAGGAGUACUGUGAGUUUGUCUUGGUUAUAGAAACCUUCCCCAUCUGCAGCCUGUGCACCAAACCUGUUUAUUCACCCAUAAGUUCACAGAGUGCAAAGAGGGUCUGUCACAUGCCAAAGUUCAAAUAUCUGGUCUCUGCCAGCUCCUCUGGAAGGACCUGAGCUGCUCCUUGCUCUGCAAUCCUGUGUAUGGGGCUUCACAUUCGUGGAGGUUUAGGACUUUGUGCCUUUGACUCUCCCGUUCUUAAAACUAUUACAAAUUAAAUUAGUAGCCUGGGGAAGGAUGAACUGAUCUGUCCAUGAAACCGAUGCAGAGUUUGUGAACUUUAUGUAGAGAAGCUCCCAGGGAUCUUUAAAAUGGACCAUGUCCUGUGCUGCAUGUGAGGGCUGUGGGGUUUGGUGUAGCCCCUGACUAACCUAGGCAGUCUCACUGAACAAUUUAACAUCUGCGUUGACCAUGAAGCUUUAACACAUCCUCAUCCAGGGUCUUCUGGGAGCACUCUAAGCAUGCAUUAAACACUGUGGUUCUCAUCCUACACUCCAGACAUGGCAAAGGCUCAGGCAGCGUUGGGAAGGGCUUUCUCACAACUGGUGUGUUUACAGUCGGAUUUCUUAACUGGAACGGGGACUGCAAGAGUUUUUAAAAACUAAAAACCCAAACCCUGCAAUUUCAUGCUGCUUCACUUGUGUGGUUUUUGUUUUGUCUCUUUCUUAAGUAUAGUGUAUGGACAGCGCCAUGGGUUAGGGAACACUUCUGCUUCAUCUUCAGAGACUUUUCGUAUGUAGCCUUCUGCUGAAGUCAAUGGGUGUGGAGUAAAAUGAACAAAGUUGAAAUGACUGCAUCUGUGCCAAGAAUUUUUGUUUUCACCACAAUGGCCGAAGUUUUGGAGCACUAAAAGUGCUGUCAGUGAGUCUCCAGCUCCUUGUCUCACUGCCUGCCUGUGCUAUGUCCAGUGGAAGCAGAGCCCUCCCAGGACUGAGGACUCACAAGGUCAGAAUUCAUAUUAGGUUUAUUAUUUUAAGCAGCAUUUUCCAGCGUUAGGCAUCCUUCUGUUUAUUUCCCUGACACCAUGUAAUGCUGUUUUUCAUUUAUAUAUCUACACAUAUGUACACAUACAUAUAUGUGUGUUGCUGCUGCUGUUCAAUCCUCUGCAUUUCCCCCUCUGCAUUUGUGUAAAUUAUGUUUCAACAGAGCUGUACUUUAUACAGUUCCCAUACAAUGAGAGUUUUUUUGUAGUUUUUGUGUCUGCGUGGGCUAAGCAUUUCUUUAGAUUUGAAUCCAACAUCAAAGUCAUACUGGUUUAAUACAAUGUUUUUAUAUCACCUUUUUUUCUCCAAGUUGGAUUUUAUUUUAAGCUCUGACUCUCUUACUUUUGAUGCAUAAUUUGAGACUUUGCUAGCUCUUCACAUUAUAAAAAAAAAAAACCCAACCAAAACAACCCACACACAAAGCUCUAUUUUCCUUAGCUCAUACAGUAUUUCCACUUGGCUCAGAAGAUGUGGAUUUGUGAGCUGAGGGAAUCCUCAUCUGGCUGGUCACCCAAGCCUUCUUCAAGAGUAUUAGAAGGAUCUACAGCCUAAGUUCAUCAGAGGGCUGACCUGCUCUGGUUUUAAUGAGAUUUAUUAUACCUGUACCUGUUGGAUUCUGUGGUUUUGAUCUUCAAAAUUAUCUGAAUAAACCUGUUAGUGAAAGCAAAACUGUUGACAGAAAACUGACUUUACUCAAUCUGCCCUGUGUUAAGAUUACUGAUUUUUGGAAUUAAAAUAAUAUCUGUUGUGGCA